rnacentral:sRNA from 1 species
AGAUGACAGCCUCAUUUGUCAAAUUCCUAGACAGAGCAAUUAGGUAAGACAAAAAGGCAACCAACCUGGAAUUGUGUCUGCACUAAGCUUGGCAUCAAUAUGGUGACCUCUUGGAAGUGGAGUACCACCAGGAUGCCUAAGGAGGAGGGGUGAACUGACCUAGGUUGGAAAGGAAGCAGGUCAAAACUCCUGUGCUGAUGAUUAGUGGAAUCACUACACUGUUCCUUUUUGCAGAUGACAUGAUUU